rnacentral:rRNA from 1 species
UUAAGCGACUAAGCGUACACGGUGGAUGCCCUGGCAGUCAGAGGCGAUGAAGGACGUGCUAAUCUGCGAAAAGCGUCGGUAAGGUGAUAUGAACCGUUAUAACCGGCGAUGUCCGAAUGGGGAAACCCAGUGCAAUUCGUUGCACUAUCGUUAACUGAAUACAUAGGUUAACGAGGCGAACCGGGGGAACUGAAACAUCUAAGUACCCCGAGGAAAAGAAAUCAACCGAGAUUCCCCCAGUAGCGGCGAGCGAACGGGGAGCAGCCCAGAGUCUGAAUCAGCUUGUGUGUUAGUGGAACGGUCUGGAAAGUCCGACGGUACAGGGUGAUAGUCCCGUACACCAAAAUGCACAGGCUGUGAACUCGAAGAGUAGGGCGGGACACGUGGUAUCCUGUCUGAAUAUGGGGGGACCAUCCUCCAAGGCUAAAUACUCCUGACUGACCGAUAGUGAACCAGUACCGUGAGGGAAAGGCGAAAAGAACCCCGGCGAGGGGAGUGAAAAAGAACCUGAAACCGUGUACGUACAAGCAGUGGGAGCACCUUCGGGUGUGACUGCGUACCUUUUGUAUAAUGGGUCAGCGACUUAUAUUCUGUAGCAAGGUUAACCGUAUAGGGGAGCCGCAGGGAAACCGAGUCUUAACUGGGCGUUAAGUUGCAGGGUAUAGACCCGAAACCCGGUGAUCUAGCCAUGGGCAGGUUGAAGGUUGGGUAACACUAACUGGAGGACCGAACCGACUAAUGUUGAAAAAUUAGCGGAUGACUUGUGGCUGGGGGUGAAAGGCCAAUCAAACCGGGAGAUAGCUGGUUCUCCCCGAAAGCUAUUUAGGUAGCGCCUCGUGAAUUCAUCUUCGGGGGUAGAGCACUGUUUCGGCUAGGGGGUCAUCCCGACUUACCAACCCGAUGCAAACUACGAAUACCGAAGAAUGUUAUCACGGGAGACACACGGCGGGUGCUAACGUCCGUCGUGAAGAGGGAAACAACCCAGACCGCCAGCUAAGGUCCCAAAGUCAUGGUUAAGUGGGAAACGAUGUGGGAAGGCACAGACAGCCAGGAUGUUGGCUUAGAAGCAGCCAUCAUUUAAAGAAAGCGUAAUAGCUCACUGGUCGAGUCGGCCUGCGCGGAAGAUGUAACGGGGCUAAACCAUGCACCGAAGCUGCGGCAGCGACACUAUGUGUUGUUGGGUAGGGGAGCGUUCUGUAAGCCUGCGAAGGUGACCUGUGAGGGUUGCUGGAGGUAUCAGAAGUGCGAAUGCUGACAUAAGUAACGAUAAAGCGGGUGAAAAGCCCGCUCGCCGGAAGACCAAGGGUUCCUGUCCAACGUUAAUCGGGGCAGGGUGAGUCGACCCCUAAGGCGAGGCCGAAAGGCGUAGUCGAUGGGAAACAGGUUAAUAUUCCUGUACUUGGUGUUACUGCGAAGGGGGGACGGAGAAGGCUAUGUUAGCCGGGCGACGGUUGUCCCGGUUUAAGCAUGUAGGCUGGUUGUCCAGGCAAAUCCGGAUAAUCAAGGCUGAGGUGUGAUGACGAGGCACUACGGUGCUGAAGUAACAAAUGCCCUGCUUCCAGGAAAAGCCUCUAAGCAUCAGGUAACAUCAAAUCGUACCCCAAACCGACACAGGUGGUCAGGUAGAGAAUACCAAGGCGCUUGAGAGAACUCGGGUGAAGGAACUAGGCAAAAUGGUGCCGUAACUUCGGGAGAAGGCACGCUGGUGUGUAGGUGAAGUCCCUGCGGAUGGAGCUGAGACCAGUCGAAGAUACCAGCUGGCUGCAACUGUUUAUUAAAAACACAGCACUGUGCAAACACGAAAGUGGACGUAUACGGUGUGACGCCUGCCCGGUGCCGGAAGGUUAAUUGAUGGGGUUAUCCGUAAGGAGAAGCUCUUGAUCGAAGCCCCGGUAAACGGCGGCCGUAACUAUAACGGUCCUAAGGUAGCGAAAUUCCUUGUCGGGUAAGUUCCGACCUGCACGAAUGGCGUAAUGAUGGCCAGGCUGUCUCCACCCGAGACUCAGUGAAAUUGAACUCGCUGUGAAGAUGCAGUGUACCCGCGGCAAGACGGAAAGACCCCGUGAACCUUUACUAUAGCUUGACACUGAACAUUGAGCCUUGAUGUGUAGGAUAGGUGGGAGGCUUUGAAGCGUGGACGCCAGUCUGCGUGGAGCCAACCUUGAAAUACCACCCUUUAAUGUUUGAUGUUCUAACGUUGGCCCCUGACCGGGGUUGCGGACAGUGUCUGGUGGGUAGUUUGACUGGGGCGGUCUCCUCCCAAAGCGUAACGGAGGAGCACGAAGGUUAGCUAAUCCUGGUCGGACAUCAGGAGGUUAGUGCAAUGGCAUAAGCUAGCUUGACUGCGAGCGUGACGGCGCGAGCAGGUGCGAAAGCAGGUCAUAGUGAUCCGGUGGUUCUGAAUGGAAGGGCCAUCGCUCAACGGAUAAAAGGUACUCCGGGGAUAACAGGCUGAUACCGCCCAAGAGUUCAUAUCGACGGCGGUGUUUGGCACCUCGAUGUCGGCUCAUCACAUCCUGGGGCUGAAGUAGGUCCCAAGGGUAUGGCUGUUCGCCAUUUAAAGUGGUACGCGAGCUGGGUUUAGAACGUCGUGAGACAGUUCGGUCCCUAUCUGCCGUGGGCGCUGGAGAAUUGAGGGGGGCUGCUCCUAGUACGAGAGGACCGGAGUGGACGCAUCACUGGUGUUCGGGUUGUCAUGCCAAUGGCACUGCCCGGUAGCUAAAUGCGGAAGAGAUAAGUGCUGAAAGCAUCUAAGCACGAAACUUGCCCCGAGAUGAGUUCUCCCUGAGACUUUAAGUCUCCUGAAGGAACGUU